GGAGAGGUGUGUUUGAGAAAGGAGAUUUCCUGCUGGAAUAUAGAGGGGACCUCAUAGAUAAAGAAGAAUGUGAACGGAGGCAAAGGAUAUAUCAUGAUGCACUUAAAGUUUAUAUCUUUGAGUUUCGCUAUAAUGGAAAGCUUCUCUGCAUUGACGCAGCCCGGGAUGAUGGUAAACGAUGACCAUAUGAACCCAAACAGCAGGAUGAGAACUAUCUCUGUGGAUGGAAAACCUCACUCAAAGAGCAUCUGUCCUGGUGAAGAGAGAACUGCUUCUGACUGGCCAUGGCGAUGCACGAAAAUGAAAGCGAGCCAGAAACUGAAAAACCACGAAGAGGGCAAAAAGUGGCAUGGUCAAAUGUUGAAAUUACAGCUGUAAUGAAACCUUUUAAGUCCCAUGUAAAUAAAGGUAAACUGGCCACAUGAACUGAAUGCCAGCAGUGUAAGACUGCUGAAGAUCCUGUUUUGGCAAGGCGUAGUGCUCAGAACAUACGGGAUUUUGUUAGAAAUCGAGGAAUUAGCCUAAAAAGGAAAAUGCAAAGUAAGUAACCUAACAGUACAUCCUGUGUCUCUUUUGAUGCCGUUCUAUUGUAAUUAGCACAUUGGUGGUUGGUGCCUAAGGUUUUUGUUUAUUUGUUGAAGUUAUUAAAGUUCUUCUAAAACGCAUUGGUCCCUCUAAUGUUGUGUAUUGUGUUUAAGAUCCGGUACUCUUUAACCACCUCAGUCCUGGUAAUGCAGCAUAGUGACCCGUGUGUGUGUUGUGUAAGGUCAUGUACCAGUAAAACACCCUGGUCCUUGUAAUCCAGAGAACUGACAUGUUUGGUGUAUUGUAAAGUGAGUGUCCUCAUAAAUCAG